rnacentral:rRNA from 1 species
UACGAAGGGGGCUAGCGUUGCUCGGAAUUACUGGGCGUAAAGCGCACGUAGGCGGUCUUUUAAGUCGGGGGUGAAACCCUGGAGCUCAACUCCAGAACUGCCUUCGAUACUGGAAGACUUGAGUCCGGGAGAGGUGAGUGGAACUGCGAGUGUAGAGGUGAAAUUCGUAGAUAUUCGCAAGAACACCAGUGGCGAAGGCGGCUCACUGGCCCGGUACUGACGCUGAGGUGCGAAAGCGUGGGGAGCAAACAGG